CCAAUAGCGUAUAUUAAAGUUGUUGCAGUUAAAAAGCUCGUAGUUGAAUUUCGGGAUUGACGUGAUGGUCAUGCCUUAAGGGGUAUGAACUGUUACUGUUGAUUUCUCACCUUCUGGAGAAACUUGAUGUCCUUUAUUGGGUGUCUUGCGGAUCCAGGACCUUUACCUUGAAAAAAUUAGAGUGUUUAAAGCAGGCAUUUUUGCUCGAAUACAUUAGCAUGGAAUAAUAGAAUAGGACGGCAUGGUUCUAUUUUGUUGGUUUCUAGGAUCACCGUAAUGGUUAAUAGGGUUAGUUGGGGGCAUUAGUAUUCAAUUGUCAGAGGUGAAAUUCUUGGAUUUAUUGAAGACUAACUACUGCGAAAGCAUUUGCCAAGGAUGUUUUCAUUAAUCAAGAACGAAAGUUAGGGGAUCGAAGACGAUCAGAUACCGUCGUAGUCUUAACCAUAAACUAUGCCGACUAGGAAUCAGACGAUGUUAAUUUUUUAAUGACUCGUUUGGCACCUUACG
rnacentral:rRNA from 1 species